CGCCGCCGAGGAGAAAGAUGUUCGCCAGGAGCCGCCUGAAAGCGUCAACCCGUGGUGAAUACGUUGAGGAUCAUCGUCUCUCUUUUCCUCAACAGUGAACAAACUAUUCACCGGGAAAGGUAUCAUCGCGCGAUUUCGUCGAAUUACCAAGACUGGUUCCUACAUAAUAGGAGAGCCUUAAACGAAUUACGAUCAUCUUUUAGCGCUUGUGCAUCCCGAGAGAGCAUUACUGACGAAAUCGUUUCUCCGCUCGUAAAGCUUCGUUCCCUGGAAAUUUCGUGGCGAAUGCAUAACGGAGCUUGUUCCUGUCAGGAAACUCUCGGUAAAUCGAAAUAAAAGGCACCGGCAAUAAAAAGACAUUCUCUUCUCUCUUUACGAUGCAUCUAUUAAUUUUAAUAAUGAUUCUUUUUUUUUGAAUUUAAUAAAAUUUACAUUGAUUGUUAAUAAAAUUUGUAUAGUAUUUGAAUAAAAAUAUAAAUAAUUGAAUCAAGUAUCAUGGAUAUGAAAAAAAGGAUGGAUAAAAUUUAUUAUAAAUUUUUUAAAAAUAAUUCAACUGAAAAUUGAAAUUAUCGAACGAAGAAAGAAUUUCAUGUUUUAUAAAUUGUUAUAACAUUGUUUUAUCAUUAAAUAUUCUGUAAGAGAAACUGUUUAUAUAAACAAGAUUUAUCGAAAAGGUAUUCGAGCGCAAAAAGCAAAUAUGUAGAAAAAACACGAUUGGAUCCCUUGCCCUUUUCUCUUCACCAGGGAAAUUAAAACUUGUAGAGUUCAUCGUCAAAACAUCGUCGAGCUAUUUCUGAAGCGGAAACAUCCCUCUGGAGUGGCACAUAUCGAAUCGAAACAUUUCCAUUCGUACGAAGCUUUCGUCGAAUGGAUCGUCAAUCGCGGUUCCCUGCUGAAACUAUCUUUGUCUCUUAGACACGUACGCCAAUGUUCUACCAGAGGUUCCAUCACACACCCGUUGAUUGUAACGUCACCGAAUCUCGCCCAUGAAUUUGCCAUUCGAAAGAUUCAAUCCAUUCCCAUGCACGAAUAGAAGUUUCCGAUCGUCUAGAUCGCAAAUCGUCGAGUUGUACCACUGGAAAGAGUCGAGUCCACGUAUCGUGCAACAACUGGGACAAAUUUUAAAUAUUUAACACGCGAACGAAGAUCGUUGCAAAGAUAAUGACUUAUGUAUGCGUGGGAGGAUCACGGCUGCACAAUUGCAAACAUUAUAUCUUGCUGAAGGAAAACAGUAUCAACGCGAGAAGCAUUUUAACUAUAGAUAUUAUUUGCCAUAAUUGCGACGUAAUAGUAAGAAGAGCAUUAGUCGACGAUAUGGCUCAUGACGAUGAAGAAUGAAAUCAGGGAGGACCAGAUUUUUUGUAUAAUUUUUUGUAUAAUGGAGAAAGGAUUAUGAAGAUAAAACAAUAUAAAACAAGGAUAUUAAGAAGUGUACAUCACAAUUAACAACGAGAGAAAAGAAGAUGCUAAGUGCAUUUUGCGUUAUAUCAAGAGAAAUAACAAAUAUGUAUUGAUUAUAUAAAUUGUAUGUAUUGUAAAAAAUAUAUAGAAUGAAAUAUAAAAAUAGAAUAAUUUGUAUGUAUUUGUAUGUAAGAAUGUAUGCAUAAAUGCAGUAUAAAAAUUAUAUAAUUUAUAUAAUUGUAAAAUUGUUUAUUUGUAUGUAAGAAUGUAUGUAUGAAUGCAGUAUAAAAAAUGUACGUAUUUGUAUGUAAGAAUGUACGUAUGAAUGCAGUAUAAAAUUGUAUAAUUUGUACGUAUGUAUGUAAGAAUGUAUGCACG